GCUGAAGUCNGGUGCUUGCACUAGACGGAUGAGUUGCGAACGGGUGAGUAACGCGUAGGUAACCUGCCUCAUAGCGGGGGAUAACUAUUGGAAACGAUAGCUAAUACCGCAUAACAGUAUUUACCGCAUGGUAGAUACUUGAAAGGAGCAAUUGCUUCACUAUGAGAUGGACCUGCGUUGUAUUAGCUAGUUGGUGAGGUAACGGCUCACCAAGGCAUCGAUACAUAGCCGACCUGAGAGGGUGAUCGGCCACACUGGGACUGAGACACGGCCCAGACUCCUACGGGAGGCAGCAGUAGGGAAUCUUCGGCAAUGGGGGCAACCCUGACCGAGCAACGCCGCGUGAGUGAAGAAGGUUUUCGGAUCGUAAAGCUCUGUUGUAAGAGAAGAACUGUGAGAAGAGUGGAAAGUUUCUCACUUGACGGUAUCUUACCAGAAAGGGACGGCUAACUACGUGCCAGCAGCCGCGGUAAUACGUAGGUCCCGAGCGUUGUCCGGAUUUAUUGGGCGUAAAGCGAGCGCAGGCGGUUUGAUAAGUCUGAAGUAAAAGGCUGUGGCUUAACCAUAGUACGCUUUGGAAACUGUCAAACUUGAGUGCAGAAGGGGAGAGUGGAAUUCCAUGUGUAGCGGUGAAAUGCGUAGAUAUAUGGAGGAACACCGGUGGCGAAAGCGGCUCUCUGGUCUGUAACUGACGCUGAGGCUCGAAAGCGUGGGGAGCGAACAGGAUUAGAUACCCUGGUAGUCCACGCCGUAAACGAUGAGUGCUAGGUGUUGGGUCCUU
rnacentral:rRNA from 1 species